rnacentral:rRNA from 1 species
AGCGGCAAAAGCUCAAAUUUGAAAUCUGGCACCUUCGGUGUCCGAGUUGUAAUUUGAAGAAGGUAACUUUGGAGUUGGCUCUUGUCUAUGUUCCUUGGAACAGGACGUCACAGAGGGUGAGAAUCCCGUGCGAUGAGAUGCCCAAUUCUAUGUAAAGUGCUUUCGAAGAGUCGAGUUGUUUGGGAAUGCAGCUCUAAGUGGGUGGUAAAUUCCAUCUAAAGCUAAAUAUUGGCGAGAGACCGAUAGCGAACAAGUACAGUGAUGGAAAGAUGAAAAGAACUUUGAAAAGAGAGUGAAAAAGUACGUGAAAUUGUUGAAAGGGAAGGGCUUGAGAUCAGACUUGGUAUUUUGCGAUCCUUUCCUUCUUGGUUGGGUUCCUCGCAGCUUACUGGGCCAGCAUCGGUUUGGAUGGUAGGAUAAUGACUAAGGAAUGUGGCUCUACUUCGGUGGAGUGUUAUAGCCUUGGUUGAUACUGCCUGUCUAGACCGAGGACUGCGUCUUUGACUAGGAUGCUGGCAUAAUGAUCUUAAGCCACCCGUCUUGAA